AACUCAAUACAGGGGAGCUUGUGUGACAGGCUGAGAGGAAGGAUGACCUUCGACCCUUAUACCUGAUGUGGGUAAUGCCACCGUAGGAACUUCUUUUGCUCUGUGA
rfam:Lachnospiraceae bacterium ACC2 genomic scaffold supercont1.1, whole genome shotgun sequence.